rnacentral:rRNA from 1 species
AUACGUAGGGUGCAAGCGUUAAUCGGAAUUACUGGGCGUAAAGCGUGCGCGGGCGGUUGUGCAAGUCUGAUGUGAAAGCCCCGGGCUUAACCUGGGAACGGCAUUGGAGACUGCAUAACUAGAGUGCGUCAGAGGGGGGUAGAAUUCCACGUGUAGCAGUGAAAUGCGUAGAGAUGUGGAGGAAUACCGAUGGCGAAGGCAGCCCCCUGGGAUGACACUGACGCUCAUGCACGAAAGCGUGGGGAGCAAACAGGAUUAGAUACCCUGGUAGUCCACGCCCUAAACGAUGUCAAUUAGCUGUUGGGGGUUUGAAUCCUUGGUAGCGAAGCUAACGCGUGAAAUUGACCGCCUGGGGAGUACGGCCGCAAGGUUAAA